rnacentral:rRNA from 1 species
GACGAACGCUGGCGGCGUGCUUAACACAUGCAAGUCGAACGGUGAAGCGCCUUCCUUUUUGGUGGGUGUGGAUGAGUGGCGAACGGGUGAGUAACACGUGAGUAACCUGCCCCCUUCUUCUGGAUAACCGCAUGAAAGUGUGGCUAAUACGGGAUAUUCUGGGUCUGUCGCAUGAUGGGUCUGGGAAAGAUAUUGUUUCGGUGGGGGAUGGGCUCGCGGCCUAUCAGCUUGUUGGUGGGGUGAUGGCCUACCAAGGCGGUGACGGGUAGCUGGCCUGAGAGGGUGGACGGUCACACUGGGACUGAGACACGGCCCAGACUCCUACGGGAGGCAGCAGUGGGGAAUAUUGCACAAUGGGCGCAAGCCUGAUGCAGCGACGCCGCGUGAGGGAUGGAGGCCUUCGGGUUGUGAACCUCUUUCGCCAGUGAAGCAGGCCUGCCUCGUUUGUGGGUGGGUUGACGGUAGCUGGAGAAGAAGCGCCGGCUAACUACGUG